rnacentral:rRNA from 1 species
AUGAAGCGACGCCGCGUGCGGGAUGAAGUCUUUCGGGAUGUAAACCGCUGACAGGGGGGACGAUGGCAUUUGCAGCUAAUAUCUGCAGAUGUUGACGGUACCCCCAAAGGAAGCACCGGCUAACUACGUGCCAGCAGCCGCGGUAA